GACGAACGCUGGCGGCGUGCCUAAUACAUGCAAGUUGAGCGAUGAAGCUUGGUGCUUGCCCCAAUUUGAAGAGCAGCGAACGGGUGAGUAACGCGUGGGGAAUCUGCCUUUGAGCGGGGGACAACAUUUGGAAACGAAUGCUAAUACCGCAUAACAACUUUAAACAUAAGUUUUAUGUUUGAAAGAUGCAAUUGCAUCACUCAAAGAUGAUCCCGCGUUGUAUUAGCUAGUUGGUGAAGUAAAGGCUCACCAAGGCGAUGAUACAUAGCCGACCUGAGAGGGUGAUCGGCCACAUUGGGACUGAGACACGGCCCAAACUCCUACAGGAGGCAGCAGUAGGGAAUCUUCGGCAAUGGAAGAAAGUCUGACCGAGCAACGCCGCGUGAGUGAAGAAGGUUUUCGGAUCGUAAAACUCUGUUGGUAGAGAAGAACGUUGGUGAGAGUGGAAAGCUCAUCAAGUGACGGUAACUACCCAGAAAGGGACGGCUAACUACGUG
rnacentral:rRNA from 1 species